CUACGGGGGGCAGCAGGCGAGAAAACUUUGCAAUGUGCGAAAGCACGACAAGGUUAAUCCGAGUGGUUUGUGCUAAACGAACCUUUUGACAGUCCUAGAAACACUGUUGAAUAAGGGGUGGGCAAGUUCUGGUGUCAGCCGCCGCGGUAAAACCAGCACCUCAAGUGGUCAGGAUGAUUAUUGGGCCUAAAGCAUCCGUAGCCGGCUCUGUAAGUUUUCGGUUAAAUCUGUACGCUCAACGUACAGGCUGCCGGGAAUACUGCAGAGCUAGGGAGUGGGAGAGGUAGACGGUACUCGGUAGGAAGGGGUAAAAUCCUUUGAUCUAUUGAUGACCACCUGUGGCGAAGGCGGUCUACCAGAACACGUCCGACGGUGAGGGAUGAAAGCUGGGGGAGCAAACCGGAUUAGAUACCCGCGUAGUC
rnacentral:rRNA from 1 species